UACGGAAUGUGCAAACGUUAUUCGGAAUCACUGGGCUUAAAGAGUCCGUAGGCGGCGUGUCAAGUCAGGCGUGAAAGCCCCGGGCUCAACCUGGGAACCGCGCUUGAGACUGGCAUGCUCGAGUUCGGGAGAGGAUGGUGGAAUUCCCAGUGUAGAGGUGAAAUUCGUAGAUAUUGGGAAGAACACCGAUGGCGAAGGCAGCCAUCUGGACCGACACUGACGCUGAGGCGCGAAAGCGUGGGGAGCAAACAGG
rnacentral:rRNA from 1 species